AACAAAACAAAGAAGAAAGCCCCCAAAAAUAAAGAAAAGAAGAAGAAAGGGUCUCUCUGGUUUAAACACUGCCAAGUACUUGAGAAGGCAUCCAAAGGGAUCGCAUUGAUCCUUUAUUUUUUUUCAACCCUUUAUUUUUUUUUCUUUUCAAUUCCCCCCUCCCCCAAAACAAAUUCACAAUUUUGGAUCAUGCUAUCCCUUUGGAUUCCUCCUUUGGUAGCUUCAAACAUAUACACAUAUAUAUAUAUACAUAUAUAUGAUAGCUUCUUGCCUUGAAACCAGUGGAUUCGUAGAAGAAAAUGGCUUCCCAAUGACUUCAAACAUCCUCUUCGCAUCAUAGAUAAUGCAGAGCCUUGUGUGUGUUCGUGAUGCUGUUUUUAUAUGAGGCAAUUCUAGUUAGUAGGUAUAUGGUAUUCCCGGUCGACUGUCGAGCAAGUCCUGCAGAUUUCAGGUACGAGAAAGGCAAUGUAUGUUGUUGUUGUUGUGCAUUUGUUUUGUAUGUAUAGCCUGCGAUGCAAUCUUUAUAUGGUUCUUCGGAUUGAAGAUAAUCUAUGCAGAGCCUUGUUUGUGUUUGUGAUGCUGUUUAUGUAGGGCAAUUCUAGUUAGUAGGCCACAGUGUUCACGGUCGAGUGUCGAACAAGUCCCAAAGAUUUCAGGUUCGAGAAAGGCAAUGUAUUUUGUCGUUGCGCAUUUGUUUUCUAUGUAUAGCCUGCAAUGCAAUCUUUAUAUGGUUCUUUGGAUUGAGGAUAAUCUAUUCCGAGCCUUGUUCGUGUUUGUGAUACAUAUACUUAUAUCUAAUACUCAUACUCGAGUCUCAGUGACUUCGUUAAGAAUUUUA